AUGAAUUGUCGGAUCUUGUUUUCAAGGAAGAGGAAAAGGACAACCAUCAACAUUGUAAGCAACAUCGACAUCACCAUAGACCACCGUUUACAACCUCCCAGAUUAGAACUCGAAUCCACUCCGACCCGGCUGCACGUGCGACAGGACCACUGUCCAUCACCUCCAUCACCAUCGCGAGCCGUUGGUGAACCACCUAUGGAACCUCAACGAACGGGUACCACAAUCACACGCAAAUAUAUAUCAAGCCGCUCCAAAUUGCAAACAUAUGCCACUGCUCAAAUUUACCGCAACUCUCGAGUUUGUUUUGUUGCAUUAUUUGUUGAUUUUAAUUCACAGAUGUGUUGGUUUGAUGACUGA